UACGGGGGGGGCAAGCGUUGUUCGGAAUUACUGGGCGUAAAGGGCUCGUAGGCGGCCAACUAAGUCGGACGUGAAAUCCCCAGGCUCAACCUGGGAACUGCGUCCGAUACUGGAUGGCUUGAAUCCGGGAGAGGGAUGCAGAAUUCCAGGUGUAGCGGUGAAAUGCGUAGAUAUCGAGAGGAACACCAGCGGCGAAGGCGGGUUGCUGGGCUGACACUGACGCUGAUGCGCGAAAGCCAGGGGAGCAAACGGG
rnacentral:rRNA from 1 species